rnacentral:rRNA from 1 species
GAUGAACGCUGGCGGCGUGCCUAAUACAUGUAAGUCGAACGGACGAAUAGCAAUAUUUGUGAGUGGCGAACGGGUGAGUAACGCGUGGGUGACCUGCCCCGAAGAGGGGGAUAACAGCUCGAAAGGGCUGCUAAUACCCCAUGAGCUCACGGGCGUUAGAGAACCGUGAGGGAAGGAGAAGUUGCGAGAGCAACGGAUCCACUUUGGGAGGGACCUGCGACCCAUCAGCUAGUUGGUAAGGUAACGGCCUACCAAGGCGACGACGGGUAGGGGGCCUGAGAGGGUGGCCCCCCACACUGGCACUGAAACACGGGCCAGACACCUACGGGUGGCAGCAGUAGGGAAUAUUGCACAAUGGGCGCAAGCCUGAUGCAGCAACGCCGCGUGCGCGAUGAAGGCCUUCGGGUCGUAAAGCGCUUUUCUGGAGGAGGAGGAAGGACCGUACUCCAGGAAUAAGUCUCGGCUAACUACGUGCCAGCCGCCGCGGUAAAAC